rnacentral:tRNA from 1 species
GGGAUUAUAAUUAAUUAUAAUAUUUAAUUUGCAAUUAAAAAGUGCUAAAUGGCUUUUCUCU